UGGGGAAUAUUGGACAAUGGGCGAAAGCCUGAUCCAGCCAUGCCGCGUGAGUGAAGAAGGCCUUCGGGUUGUAAAGCUCUUUUAGUCGGAAAGAAAGAGUUGCAAUGAAUAAUUGUGAUUUAUGACGGUACCGACAGAAAAAGCACCGGCUAACUACGUGCCAGCAGCCGCGGUAAUACGUAGGGUGCGAGCGUUAAUCGGAAUUACUGGGCGUAAAGGGUGCGCAGGCGGUCUUGCAAGUCAGAUGUGAAAGCCCUGGGCUUAACCUGGGAAUUGCGUUUGAAACUACAAGGCUAGAGUGCAGCAGAGGGGAGUGGAAUUCCAUGUGUAGCAGUGAAAUGCGUAGAGAUGUGGAAGAACACCGAUGGCGAAGGCAGCUCCCUGGGUUGACACUGACGCUCAUGCACGAAAGCGUGGGGAGCAAACA
rnacentral:rRNA from 1 species